GGAGGGGUGGCUGAGCGGUUGAAAGCACCGGUCUUGAAAACCGGCGAUGCGCGAGCAUCCGUGGGUUCGAAUCCCACCCCCUCCGCCA
rnacentral:tRNA from 1 species